UUCGAUUAUGGCUCAGAUUGAACGCUGGCGGGAUGCUUUACACGCUGCAAGUCGAACGGCAGCACGGACUUCGGUCUGGUGGCGAGUGGCGAACGGGUAGGUAAUGUAUCGGAACGUGCCUAGUAGCGGGGAUAACUACGCGAAAGCGUAGCUAAUACCGCAUACGCCCUUCGAGGAAAGCGGGGGACCUUCGGGCCUCGCACUAUUGAAGCGGCCGAUAUCGGAUUAGCUAGUUGGUGGAGUAACGGCUCACCAAGGCGACGAUCCGUAGCUGGUUUGAAGAGGACGACCAGCCACACUGGGACUGAGACCUGGCCCAGACUCCUACGGGAGGCAGCAGUGGGAAUUUUGGACAAUGGGGGAAACCCUGAUCCAGCCAUCCCGCGUGUGCGAUGAAGGCCUUCGGGUUGUAGCACUUGGCCGGGAAAGAAACGGCGGGAUAAUACCCCGUGCAACUGGUGACCUGCAGAAUAAGCACCGGCUAACUACGUGCCAGCAGCCGCGGUAAUACGUAGGGUGCAAGCGUUAAUCGGAAUUACUGGGCGUAAAGCGUGCGGAAGCGGUUCGGAAGAAAGAUGAAAUCCCAGAGCUUAACUUUGGAACUACAUUUUUAACUACCGAGCUAGAGUGUGUCAGAGGAGGUGGAAUUCCGCGUGUAGCAGUGAAAUGCGUAGAUAUGCGGAGGAACACCGAUGGCGAAACAGCCUCCUGGGGGAUAACACUGACGCUCAUGCACGAAAGCGUGGGGAGCAAACAGGAUUAGAUACCCUGUUGAUCCACGCCUAAACGAUGUCAACUAGCUGUUGGGGCCUUCGGGCCUUGGUAGCGCAGCUAACGCGUGAAGUUGACCGCCUGGGGAGUACGGUCGCAAGAUUAAAACUCAAAGGAAUUGACGGGGACCCGCACAAGCGGUGGAUGAUGUGGAUUUAAUUCGAUGCAACGCGAAGAACCUUACCUACCCUUGACGUAUCUGGAAUCCCGAAGAGAUUUGGGAGUGCUCGCAAGAGAACCGGAACACAGGUGCUGCAUGGCUGUCGUCAGCUCGUGUCGUGAGAUGUUGGGUUAAGUCCCGCAACGGGCGCAACCCUUGUCAUUAGUUGCUACGAGGGCACUCUAAUGAGACUGCCGGUGACAAACCGGAGGAAGGUGGGGAUGACGUCAAGUCCUCAUGGCCCUUAUGGGUAGGGCUUCACACGUCAUACAAUGGUCGGGACAGAGGUCGCCAACCCGCGAGGGGAGCAAUCCCAGAAACCGAUCGUAGUCAGGAUCACAGUCUGCAACUCGACUGCGUGAAGUCGGAAUCGCUGGUAAUCGCGGAUCAGCAUGUCGCGGUGAAUACGUUCCCGGGUCUUGUACACACCGCCCGUCACACCAUGGGAGUGGGUUUUACCAGAAGUAGUUAGCCUAGUAAGGAGGCGAUUACCACGGUAGGAUUCAUGACUGGGGUGAAGUCGUAACAAGGUAA
rnacentral:rRNA from 1 species